GGACUACACGGGUUUCUAAUCCUGUUUGCUCCCCUAGCUUUCGCGCCUCAGCGUCAGGAUUGGCCCAGAAAACCGUCUUCACCACCGGUGUUCUUCCACAUAUCUACGCAUUUCACCGCUACACGUGGAAUUCCGUUUUCCCUAACCAACCUCUAGCUUAGGAGUUUCAAAUGCAGCUCCGGGGUUGAGCCCCGGAAUUUCACAUCUGACUUUCUAAGCCGCCUACGCGCCCUUUACGCCCAGUAAUUCCGAUCAAUGCUUGCACCCUCCGUAUUACCGCGGCGGCUGGCAC
rnacentral:rRNA from 1 species